UACAGGCAGUGCUACGGGCAGUGCUACGAGCAGUGCUACGAGCAGUGCUCCUCAGCUGAACUGUAUCUGCUGCCUGUUUAGCAGUGGGGAGAAGACAUUAUUAGGCGGCGUGCUCCUCCCUCUCCACAGCCAGGCAGCCUUAUCUGUCAGCCAUUAGUUAAUCAAGGCUGGUAACGUAAAAGUAGAGCAGAAAACUGGCACAGCGCGUGGGACCAAAGGACAACCUCUGAGAGCUGAGCUGAGCAGAGCAGGAGGAGGGCAAGGACCCGGGAACCGACCAACUCCUCCACUCUAAACUCUACUACCAGGCUAGGCUGCUGCCUCACUCUACUCAACACUGGAUCAGGCAUGGCAGGCUGCAAUUGUAUGAUGACAGCCGCCCAUUCCAUCGCAGAGAACAGGUCCUGUUUUGCAAGAAAGUUUCAAAGACAGAAGUCAAAACAACACAUGCUGCCGACGUGGGAAAAGCUGGUAAGAUCAGAGCAUCGUGGGGCGGAGGAAUGUCAGAGUCAUAGAUCUUUCAUCCUCAAGGCCAAAAUGCCUGAUCAUCUCCAUGCAUGGGAAGAAACGAUAAGCAACACCUCAUAUUAGCACUAAUACAGUCCAGUCCAACCCUGGCCAACGUGGUCCAAAUCUGGCAUCCAGACAUCAGUGGCCAAAGAUAUAUCGUUAGACAAUUACUACACGAGUAAGUAGGCUGUAUUAACUGAAAUUAAUUGGUAUUAACUCGCAAAUAGGAUUUCCUCACAAAAGAGUUGGUACAAACCAAUGUCAUAAGUAUAUUUAGGUACCGAAGGUAAAAAAUAGGGACAUUUCUUAUUGGCGUCACCAUGGAGUUUAUUGUAAGGGUAAUGAUGAUUGAAAAGGAUAUUGCAACGUCUAAAUAAUUAUUGGUCUGUGUUAACAAAGUUGACAAAAUGUUCACUACAAGAGCUUAAGGCUGCUUGUGAUGGAAAAUGAAAGCAGUCGACUAAACUCAACUGUGUAGUUGGUGCCAAACAAUCCUAAAAGGGCAUAUUAAGUUUCCCCAACAGGAUUCUCUUUUUAAGUCAACACCACUCAGAAAAGAUGAACUGAGCAACCAUAAGUCAACUUUCGGGAAUGACAAAAACAACCAGUUUUUCUACCUGUCCAAACAUUCAGCUGGAACCAAGAUCCAUUUCCAUGUCCCACUCCAGAAAAACUCCAUUGGUGCUUCAUUGAGUACAAUGCUGUUGUCUCAUAAAGCUAUGCCAGACCAGGAAAGUGAACCUGAUCUAGAACAGCAGAACUAAAAAGACGGAACAAUGCAUGAGAUUCUAAAGUGACCUUUUGGCCCAGGAUUUCCAAGAGCUUCCAAGAGUCCCUAUUCCUGGCAAAUUCCAUCUUCUUCUUACUCAACACCACUUCACUGUUAAGCUGUCAAGACCCAAACUCUAGUGUCAUUUAUCCUAGUGACGAGUUCACAACCAAAGCCAAAGACAUGGUGUUCUUUAAAAUAAAUAAAUAAAAUAAAAUGUUAUUUGUCACAUGCUUCGUAAACAACAAGUGUAGACUAACAGUGAAAUGCUUACCUACGGGCCCUUCCCAUCAAUGCAGAGAAAAAUGAUAGAAAAAAAUGAUAACACGAGGAAUAAAUACACAACGAGUAACGAUAACUUGGCUAUAUACAUGGGGUACAGCUAACGUUUGUCUUUCGGCAUUGUUCAUCCUGGGUUCCCAUAAUAGAAUUGCAUCGUAAGACACCAACGACCUUGACCUUGGCCUUGUGAUCCAACCAAAAAGCUACAGUGGACUCCAAAAGUGGUGUUAAAACUUGAGAAUAACUGUGUCCUUAACAGUAGAAGKAAAACAAGUUAUUAGGUAAAAGCAUUGACUACAAAGUCAAAGGCAACUAUAAUUCCUUGGCUUCCAGCAUAUCAGAUAUAAUAUUUGCCCACCAAUGACUGCCUCACGUAGCCACACUGUAUAUUUUCAGAUCCUAGACGGGUGUCAAACAUAGGGGAUGGUUUGAGGGAUGGUUUGAGUAUAUACUAUAUUUUCUAAUAGGACUAUAUCAUUAUUCUAUCAUUAUACUGAGUGGCGCAGCGGUUUAAGGCCCUGCAUCGCAGUGCUAGAGGCGUCACUACAGACCCAGGUUCGAUCCCGGCUGUAGAAAUAAUACAGUUCCUUGACUGUGUCCCUUAGGGCGUUGCACAAUUGGCCCAGUGUCGUCCAGGUUAGGGGAGGGUUUUGCCGGGGCAGGCUGUCAUUGUAAAUAAG